AACGAACGCUGGCGGCAUGCCUAACACAUGCAAGUCGAACGAGACCUUCGGGUCUAGUGGCGCACGGGUGCGUAACGCGUGGGAACCUGCCCUUAGGUUCGGAAUAACUCCCCGAAAGGGGUGCUAAUACCGGAUAAUGUCUUCGGACCAAAGAUUUAUCGCCUUUGGAUGGGCCCGCGUUGGAUUAGCUAGUUGGUAGGGUAAAAGCCUACCAAGGCGACGAUCCAUAGCUGGGAUGAGAGGAUGGUCAGCCACACUGGGACUGAGACACGGCCCAGACUCCUACGGGAGGCAGCAGUGGGGAAUAUUGGACAAUGGGCGAAAGCCUGAUCCAGCAAUGCCGCGUGAGUGAUGAAGGCCUUAGGGUUGUAAAGCUCUUUUACCCGGGAUGAUAAUGACAUUACCGAGAGAAUAAGCUCCGGCUAACUCCGUG
rnacentral:rRNA from 1 species